GAUGAACGCUGGCGGCGUGCCUAAUACAUGCAAGUCGAGCGAACAGACGAGGAGCUUGCUCCUCUGACGUUAGCGGCGGACGGGUGAGUAACACGUGGAUAACCUACCUAUAAGACUGGGAUAACUUCGGGAAACCGGAGCUAAUACCGGAUAAUAUAUUGAACCGCAUGGUUCAAUAGUGAAAGACGGUUUUGCUGUCACUUAUAGAUGGAUCCGCGCCGCAUUAGCUAGUUGGUAAGGUAACGGCUUACCAAGGCAACGAUGCGUAGCCGACCUGAGAGGGUGACCGCCCACCUGGGAACUGACCCCCGCCCCAGCCACCGACGGGAGGAACCAGUGGGGAUUCUCCCGCAAUGGGCGAAACUUUGACGAACCGCGGCCGUGUGAUUGAAAAAGGUCUCCGGAUCGUAAAACUCUUUAAUAAGGGAAGAACAAAUGUAUAAGUAACUAGCCCGGUCUUCACGUCACCAAAACAAAAACCCCCGCCUAACUCCGGC
rnacentral:rRNA from 1 species